rnacentral:rRNA from 1 species
AGUGAACGCUGGCGGUAGGCCUAACACAUGCAAGUCGAACGGCAGCACAGUAAGAGCUUGCUCUUACGGGUGGCGAGUGGCGGACGGGUGAGGAAUACAUCGGAAUCUACUUUUUCGUGGGGGAUAACGUAGGGAAACUUACGCUAAUACCGCAUACGACCUACGGGUGAAAGCAGGGGACCUUCGGACCUUGCGCGAUUGAAUGAGCCGAUGUCGGAUUAGCUAGUUGGCGGGGUAAAGGCCCACCAAGGCGACGAUCCGUAGCUGGUCUGAGAGGAUGAACAGCCCCACUGGAACUGAGACACGGUCCAGAGUCCGACGGGAGGCAGAAGUGGGGAAUAUUGGACAAUGGGCGCAAGCCUGAUCCAGCCAUACCGCGUGGGUGAAGAAGGCCUUCGGGUUGUAAAGCCCUUUUGUUGGGAAAGAAAAGCAGCAGGUUAAUACCCCGCUGUUCUGACGGUACCCAAAGAAUAAGCACCGGCUAACUUCGUG